UACGAAGGGGGCUAGCGUUGCUCGGAAUCACUGGGCGUAAAGCGCACGUAGGCGGACUCUUAAGUCGGUGGUGAAAUCCUGGAGCUCAACUCCAGAACUGCCUUCGAUACUGAGAGUCUUGAGUCCGGGGAGAGGUGAGUGGAACUGCGAGUGUAGAGGUGAAAUUCGUAGAUAUUCGCAAGAACACCAGUGGCGAAGGCGGCUCACUGGCCCGGUACUGACGCUGAGGUGCGAAAGCGUGGGGAGCAAACAGG
rnacentral:rRNA from 1 species